CCUACGGGAGGCUGCAGUGGGGAAUAUUGGACAAUGGGGGGAACCCUGAUCCAGCGACGCCGCGUGAGUGAAGAAGUAUUUCGGUAUGUAAAGCUCUAUCAGCAGGGAAGAAAGAAAUGACGGUACCUGACUAAGAAGCCCCGGCUAACUACGUGCCAGCAGCCGCGGUAAUACGUAGGGGGCAAGCGUUAUCCGGAUUUACUGGGUGUAAAGGGAGCGUAGACGGCGAUGCAAGUCUGAAGUGAAAGGCGGGGGCCCAACCCCCGGACUGCUUUGGAAACUGUAUGGCUGGAGUGCAGGGGAGGUAAGGGGAAUUCCUAGUGUAGCGGUGAAAUGCGUAGAUAUUAGGAGGAACACCAGUGGCGAAGGCGGCUUACUGGACUGUAACUGACGUUGAGGCUCGAAAGCGUGGGGAGCAAACAGGAUUAGAUACCCUGGUAGUC
rnacentral:rRNA from 1 species